GAAAUGCGAUAAGUAAUGUGAAUUGCAGAAUUCAGUGAAUCAUCGAAUCUUUGAACGCACAUUGCGCCCGCCAGUAUUCUGGCGGGCAUGUCUGUCCGAGCGUCAUUUCAACCAUCAAGCCCCCGGGCUUGUGUUGGGGACCUGCGGCUGCCCGCAGGCCCUGAAAACCAGUGGCGGGCUCGCUGUCACACCGAGCGUAGUAGCAAUCACCUCGCUCAGGGCGUGCUGCGGGUUCCGGCCGUUAAACAGCCUUACAAAACCCAAGGUUGACCUCGGAUCAGGUAGGAAGACCCGCUGAACUUAAGC
rnacentral:misc_RNA from 1 species